rnacentral:rRNA from 1 species
GACGAACGCUGGCGGCGUGCCUAAUACAUGCAAGUAGAACGCUGAAGAGAGGAGCUUGCUCUUCUUGGAUGAGUUGCGAACGGGUGAGUAACGCGUAGGUAACCUGCCUUGUAGCGGGGGAUAACUAUUGGAAACGAUAGCUAAUACCGCAUAACAAUGUAUGACACAUGUCAUUUAUUUGAAAGAGGCAAUUGCUCCACUACAAGAUGGACCUGCGUUGUAUUAGCUAGUAGGUGAGGUAAUGGCUCACCUAGGCGACGAUACAUAGCCGACCUGAGAGGGUGAUCGGCCACACUGGGACUGAGACACGGCCCAGACUCCUACGGGAGGCAGCAGUAGGGAAUCUUCGGCAAUGGGGGCAAGCCUGACCGAGCAACGCCGCGUGAGUGAAGAAGGUUUUCGGAUCGUAAAGCUCUGUUGUAAGUGAAGAACGGGUGUGAGAGUGGAAAGUUCACACUGUGACGGUAGCUGACCAGAAAGGGACGGCUAACUACGUG